rnacentral:rRNA from 1 species
AGGGGGAUUGUUUUGCAUAUCAAUAAGCGGAGGAAAAGAAACCAACAGGGAUUGCCUCAGUAACGGCGAGUGAAGCGGCAAAAGCUCAAAUUUGAAAUCCCCCCGGGGAGUUGUAAUUUGAAGAUUGCGUCUUGGAGGCGACCGUGUCUAUGUUCCUUGGAACAGGACGUCACAGAGGGUGAGAAUCCCGUGCGGCACGGCCCCCGGCUCCUUAUAAGGCGCUCUCGACGAGUCGAGUUGUUUGGGAAUGCAGCUCAAAGUGGGUGGUAAAUUCCAUCUAAAGCUAAAUACAGGCGAGAGACCGAUAGCGAACAAGUACAGUGAUGGAAAGAUGAAAAGCACUUUGAAAAGAGAGUGAAACAGCACGUGAAAUUGUUGAAAGGGAAGGGCAUGCCGUCAGAUUGUCAGUGUGGGUAAGAAGCGGGGUACAAAGACUGUGGAACGUGGCCCUCGGGUGUUAUAGCCGCAGUUCAUGCCCCGUCUCUUUCCGAGGCCUGCUUUGAGGACACCGACGUAAUGACGGUACGCCGCCCGUCUUGAACCACGGACCAAAUUUUCUAAUAGC